GAUGAACGCUAGCGGCAGGCUUAAUACAUGCAAGUCGUGGGGCAGCAGGACUGUAGCAAUCCAGUUGCUGGCGACCGGCAAACGGGUGCGGAACACGUACGCAACUUACCCUGAACUGGGGGAUAGCCCGGGGAAACCCGGAUUAAUACCCCGUAAUAUAAUGGAGUGGCAUCACUUUAUUAUUAAAGCUCCGGCGGUUCGGGAUGGGCGUGCGGCUGAUUAGGUAGUUGGUUGUGGUAACGGCUCACCAAGCCUACGAUCAGUAACUGGUGGGAGAGCACGACCAGUCACACGGGAAGUGAGACACGGGCACGACGCCUGCGGGACGCAGCAGUAAGGAACAUUAGGCAACGGAGGCAAAUAUGACCCAGCCAUGCCGCGUGGAAGACGGAGGUCCUCUGGGUUGUAUACUUCUUUUAUAGGGGAAGAACCCUGUGUACUCUUACGAUGUUGACGGUACCCUAAGAAUAAGCACCGGCUAACUCCGUG
rnacentral:rRNA from 1 species